GCAGUGGUGAUUCAGUGGUAGAAUUUUCGUCUUCCAUGCAGGAAACUCAGGUUCGAUUCCCAGCCGAUGUA
rnacentral:tRNA from 1 species